rnacentral:lncRNA from 1 species
AUGAUUUUACCAGGUGCACAACCCUUCUAACCUUCAUUUCCCUCAUUUGUCAAAAGGGAACAAGUAAGUCCUGCUCUCUCCACCUCAAAGGGGUUGUGAGAAUCCAGUGACAGAAUAUGGAGAAAAGGCCCUUUGUGAUGAGAAAGUAACAAGUAAAGCUACUAUAAAAUGGGAAUAAUGGUAUUUGAACUCCACAUCUUAGGUCCCCUGGAUUCCUAGGAGAUUUAGGAGGCCUUGGCUGGUCCCACCAGCUGCUAGCAUCUUCCCUUUUGAGAAUGCUUUCCAUUUAUUCUGAAUCUAAGACCUGGACACACUGCACAGCAGGAUGGAAAUUCC